rnacentral:rRNA from 4 species
UAAGCCUGUGAAGGUGGCCUGUGAGGGUUGCUGGAGGUAUCAGAAGUGCGAAUGCUGACAUAAGUAACGAUAAAGCGGGUGAAAAGCCCGCUCGCCGGAAGACCAAGGGUUCCUGUCCAACGUUAAUCGGGGCAGGGUGAGUCGACCCCUAAGGCGAGGCCGAAAGGCGUAGUCGAUGGGAAACGGGUUAAUAUUCCCGUACUUGGUGUUACUGCGAAGGGGGGACGGAGAAGGCUAUGUUGGCCGGGCGACGGUUGUCCCGGUUUAAGCGUGUAGGUGUGUGUUCCAGGUAAAUCCGGUUCACUUUAACACUGAGGCGUGAUGACGAGGCACUACGGUGCUGAAGCAACAAAUGCCCUGCUUCCAGGAAAAGCCUCUAAGCAUCAGGUAACAUCAAAUCGUACCCCAAACCGACACAGGUGGUCAGGUAGAGAAUACCAAGGCGCUUGAGAGAACUCGGGUGAAGGAACUAGGCAAAAUGGUGCCGUAACU